rnacentral:rRNA from 1 species
UACGAAGGGGGCUAGCGUUGCUCGGAAUCACUGGGCGUAAAGCGCACGUAGGCGGCUUUUUAAGUCAGGGGUGAAAUCCUGGAGCUCAACUCCAGAACUGCCUUUGAUACUGAGGAGCUUGAGUCCGGGAGAGGUGAGUGGAACUGCGAGUGUAGAGGUGAAAUUCGUAGAUAUUCGCAAGAACACCAGUGGCGAAGGCGGCUCACUGGCCCGGUACUGACGCUGAGGUGCGAAAGCGUGGGGAGCAAACAGG